rnacentral:lncRNA from 1 species
GUGCGACAUGUAAAAAAAAACCUCCCCCUUUUUUACAAAAUACUCAAUAACUCAAAAAUAAAAUUUUGAAUCAUCACCAAAAAGUAUACAGAUAUUACGAUUAAUAUAACUAAGAAGUGUUUAAAGUUUUAAGCCAUAAUCAAGAAUCGUUUUUGAGAUACGGUGCGACAUGUGAAAAAAAACACACCCCUGUUUUAGUUACAAAGUGCCGUAACUCAAAAAGUUU